GAAAUAUAAGAACCCGUCUCUUAACUUUUAACUAAAAAAAUUAAGAACCGGCUCUUAAAACUCUUAUUUAAGAGCCGGUUCUUAGCUUUUUAGUUAAAAGUUAAGAGACAGGUUCUUAUAUUUC
rnacentral:pre_miRNA from 1 species